CCCCUAGAUGUUCUGGGCCGCACGCGCGCUACACUGAACAGUUCAACAAGUCUUAACCUUGGCCGAUAGGUCUGGGUAAUCUUUGAACGCUGUUCGUGAUUGGGAUAGACCUUUGCAAUUAUGGGUCUUCAACGAGGAAUUCCUAGUAAACGCAAGUCAUCAGCUUGCAUUGAUUACGUCCCUGCCCUUUGUACACAUCGCCCGUCGCACCUACCGAUUGAAUGGUCCGGUGAAAUCUCGGGACGGCGGCUUGGUCGCUUGCGUCCGACUGCUGAAACUUGAUUAAACCAUAUCAUUUAGAGGAAGGUGAANUCGUANCA
rnacentral:rRNA from 1 species